GUGUCAGCAGCCGCGGUAAUACGGAGGGUGCAAGCGUUAUCCGGAUUCACUGGGUUUAAAGGGUGCGUAGGCGGGUAGGUAAGUCAGUGGUGAAAUCUCGAAGCUUAACUUCGAAACUGCCAUUGAUACUAUCUAUCUUGAAUAUUGUGGAGGUUUGCGGAAUAUGUCAUGUAGCGGUGAAAUGCUUAGAUAUGACAUAGAACACCUAUUGCGAAGGCAGCAGGCUACACAUAUAUUGACGCUGAGGCACGAAAGCGUGGGGAUCAAACAGGAUUAGAUACCCGAGUAGUCC
rnacentral:rRNA from 1 species